rnacentral:rRNA from 1 species
UACGGAGGGUGCAAGCGUUAUCCGGAUUUACUGGGUUUAAAGGGUGCGCAGGUGGAUAUGUAAGUCAGUGGUGAAAUCUCCGGGCUUAACCCGGAAAUUGCCGUUGAUACUAUAUAUCUUGAAUGUUGUGGAGGUAAGCAGAAUAUGUCAUGUAGCGGUGAAAUGCUUAGAGAUGACAUAGAAUACCUAUUGCGAAGGCAGCUUACUACGCAGAUAUUGACGCUCAUGCACGAAAGCGUGGGGAUCAAACAGG